AUAAGCACUUGUACUGUGAAACUGCGAAUGGCUCAUUAAAUCAGUUAUCGUUUAUUUGAUUGUACCUUACUACAUGGAUACCUGUGGUAAUUCUAGAGCUAAUACAUGCGAAAGAUCCCGACUUCACGGAAGGGAUGUAUUUAUUAGACUAAAAACCAAUGCGGGCCUCGGUCCGCUUGCUUGGUGAUUCAUGAUAACUUUUCGAAUCGCAUGGCCUUGCGCCGGCGAUGUUUCAUUCAAAUUUCUGCCCUAUCAACUGUCGAUGGUAAGGUAGUGGCUUACCAUGGUUGCAACGGGUGACGGAGAAUUAGGGUUCGAUUCCGGAGAGGGAGCCUGAGAAACGGCUACCACAUCUAAGGAAGGCAGCAGGCACGAAAAUUACCCAAUCCCGAUUCGGGGAGGUAGUGACAAGAAAUAACGGUACGGGGCCUUUAUAGGUCUCGCAAUCGGAAUGAGAACAAUUUAAAUCCUUUAACGAGGAUCAAUUGGAGGGCAAGUCUGGUGCCAGCAGCCGCGGUAAUUCCAGCUCCAAUAGCGUAUAUUAAAGUUGUUGCAGUUAAAAAGCUCGUAGUUGGAUUUCGGAGCGGGCCCGUCGGUCCACCGCAAGGUGAGCUACUGGCGGGUCUGUUCUUCUUCGCAAAGACUGCAGGUGCACUUCGCUGUGUGCUUGUCGGAUUUGUGACGUUUACUUUGAAAAAAUUAGAGUGUUCAAAGCAGGCUUUCGCUUGAAUACAUGAGCAUGGAAUAAUGGAAUAGGACUUUGGUUCUAUUUUGUUGGUUUCUAGGACCGAAGUAAUGAUUAAGAGGGACAAACGGGGGCAUCUGUAUUUCGUUGUCAGAGGUGAAAUUCUUGGAUUUGCGAAAGACAAACAACUGCGAAAGCACUUGCCAAGAGUGUUUUCAUUAAUCAAGAACGAAAGUUAGAGGAUCGAAGACGAUCAGAUACCGUCCUAGUUCUAACCAUAAACGAUGUCGACUAGGGAUCGGCGGGCGUUAUUUUAUGACCCCGUCGGCACCUUACGGGAAACCAAAGUUUUUGGAUUCCGGGGGUA
rnacentral:rRNA from 2 species